rnacentral:rRNA from 1 species
UACGUAGGGGGCGAGCGUUGUCCGGAUUUAUUGGGCGUAAAGAGCUCGUAGGCGGCUCAGUAAGUCGGGUGUGAAAACUCCAGGCUCAACCUGGAGACGCCACCUGAUACUGCUGUGGCUAGAGUCCGGUAGGGGAGCAUGGAAUUCCUGGUGUAGCGGUGAAAUGCGCAGAUAUCAGGAGGAACACCGGUGGCGAAGGCGGUUCUCUGGGCCUUACCUGACGCUGAGGAGCGAAAGUGUGGGGAGCGAACAGG